GCUGCAAGAGGUUCUGCGCGCGCUUUUGUGCGUGUCGAGAGCGUAUAACGUGCGCGAUAUUCGUGCGAGCGCAGUUUGACUUGAGCAAUCGUGGGCUUGGACUCCGUGAGAUUUGCUUUCGUCAUAUGCGAGUUAGGGGCUUGCCGACAGUGCACAUUCCUUGAUAUCCACUAACGAGCUGCUUCAAAUAUCGAAGUGUCUAUUCAUCGUGCAGAUGUUUUUUAUUAUUAUUAUUAACACAACUGGCGACGAGCAGCAGAGUUACAGCCAUGCAAAAGCUGCCUCCCUUAUCUUGAACAGAAUAAAUUCCUUUCGAAGACAAAAUAAAGAAAACAGAAAGAGAAGUCAUCAAGGCAUUCCACAUCUAUCUUAUUCAGUCUUUACAGUGUUGCUACAUCACCAUUUCCUGAGCCUCCUAUGCCAAAAAAAGUUGUUGUCAAAAAUAAAAUGACCUGAUUCCCAUGUUUUUCACCAUCCAAGCAGUGUUUACUGUCAAUUAUUACUGCUUUUUGUAACCUCACCUGUGAUUACUGUAUGUUAACACUGAGCUAUAUGAUAAGCUUAGUAAAAGUUGAAAAAGUAUACUGAAUGUUUAUUUCUGUUUUUUUAGACAUAAGGAGGGGUGCUUAAAAGCGAGCCGCAUUUGCAAAAUGCUUGCGUAAACAGCAACUACCCCGGUCAUGUCCUAAUUGUGGCCAUGUUGUCCCUGCAAACUUAUUAAUCUCAUCCGCCCACCUAACUUGCUGCCGCCCCCUGCUACGCUUCCCCUCUGUUGGAAUCCAGUCCAUAAACCUUAAUGACCAUCGAUUAUCUUCCCUCCUCAUUACGUGCCCUGCCCAUUUUUCUUGAUUUCAACUAAGAUAUCAUCAACUCGCGUUUGUUCCCUCACCCAAUCUGUUCUCAUCUUAUCCCCUUAAUGUUACACCCAUCAUUCUUCUUCUUUCCAUAGCUCAUUGCACUGUCUUCAAUUUAAGUAGAACCCGUUUCGUAAGCCUCCAGGUUUCUUCCCUGUACGUGAGUACUAGUAAGACACAGCUGUUUCACACUUUCCUCUUGAGGGAUAAUGGCAACCUGCUGUUCAUGAUCCGAGAAUGCCUGCCAAACGCACCCCAGCCCAUUCUUAUUCUUCAAAUUAUUUCAGUCUCAUGAUCCGGAUCCGCAGUCACUACCUGCCCUAAGUAGAUGUAUUCCCCUUACCACUUCCAGUGCCUCACUACCUAUCGUAAACUGCUGUUCUCUUCCGAGACUGUUAAACAUUAUUUUAGUUUUCUGCAGACUAAUUUUUAGACCCACCAUUCUGCUUUGCCUCUCCAGGUCAGUGAGCAUGCAUUGCAAUUGGUCCUCUGAGUUACUAAGCAAGGCAAUAUCAUCAGCGAAUCGCAAGUUACGAAGGUAUUCUCCAUUAACUCUUAUCCCUAAUUCUUCCCAAUCCAGGUCUCUGAAUACCUCCUGUAGACACGCCGUCAAUAGCAUAGGAGAGUUCGUAUCUCCCUGCCUGACGCCCUUCUUUAUUGGGAUUUUGUUGCUUUCUUUAUGGAGGACUACGGUGGCUGUGGAGCCGCUGUAGAUAUCUUGCAGUAUUUUCACAUAAGGCUCGUCUACACCCUGAUUCCGUAAUGCCUCCAUGACUGCUGAGGUUUUUACUCAAUCAAACGCUUUCUCGUAAUCAAUGAAAGCUAUGUAUAAGGGUUGGUUUCUUAAUUAGGUCUUUCAUCUCCUGCGAUAACUUACCGGUAUCCUGUCUAACGAAGUUACAACCGACUUCUAUUGCACACUCCUUAAUGAUGCCCAUAAGAUUUUCGUUCAUUGCUUCAACACUGAGGGUCUCUUCCUGAGUUAAAGCCCAAUACCUCUUCCGCAGCCUGAUCCGAAAUUCCUCUACUUUCCCUCUUACCGCUAACUCAUUGAUCGGCUUCGUAUGUACCAGUUUUUUCCAUUCCCUCCUUUAGUCUAGGCUAAUUCGAGAUAUUACCAUCCUAUGGUCACUGUAGCGCACCUUGCCGAGCACGUCCACAUCUUGUAUGAUGCCAGGGUUAGCGCAGGGUAUGAGGUCUACUUCAUUUCUAGUCUCGCCAUUCGGGCUCCUCCAAGUCCACUUUCGGUUAUCCCACUUGCGGAAGAAGGUAUUUAUUGUCCGCAAAUUAUUCCAUUCUGCAAACUCUACUAUACUGAUGGGCGACUUCAAUGCCAGGGUAGGCAAGAAGCAGGCUGGAGAAAGGUAUCUUGUUUUGACUUUAUCCAUCGCCGAUUCCCUGUCUUCAUAGAAGCUUUCGACUUGCUGGUCACUGGAUGUAGGCGGCUAGACAUGUACGGCCUUCAAUUUGUACCUCUUCUUAAGUUUUACAAGACCUGCUACCCUCUCGUUAAUGCUACACAAUUCCUGUAUGUUACCAGCUAUAUCCUUAUUAAUCAGGAAUCCAACUCCUGGUUCUCGUCUCUCCACUAAGCCCCGGUGGCACAGGAUGUGCCUGCUUUUUAGCGCUGUAUAUGCUUCAUUUGUCCUCCCAACCUCACUGAGCUCUAUUAUAUCCCGUUUAAUGCCCGCUAAUUCCUCCAAUAGCACUGCUAGACUCGCCUCACUAGAGCACGUUUUAGCGUUAAACGUUGCCAGGUUCAGAUUCCAAUGGUGGCCUGUCCGGAUCCAGAGAUUAUUAGCACCCUCUGCGGCGUCACAGGUCUGACCGCCGCUGUGGUCAGUUGCUUCGCAGCUGCUGGGGACCGAGGGCCGGGGUUUGAUUGCUCUAUUCAUAUAGGAGGUUGUGGCCAAUCCUGCUCUGGUAAGGGAGUGCAUUACCAGUUCUGGUCACUGGGGUCAGGCCACCAGGCCUGUUUAUACAACUGUAUCAACGUGGAUUUUUUUUAUCCGGUGGAAAAUUGUGUGGCACCUGGAGAGAGAGAGAAAGAAGUUUAAUGACACGAAAUGCCGAGAGGUCGGCCUGAGGUAUAUUCCUCUAGCCAGCUACUCGGCAUUGGGGGAAGGGGAAGAGGGAAAGAAAGAGGGAAGAAAGAGGUGCAUGAUGGGUGACGAUGACGAUAGAAGGAAGAUGUAGAACAUAUGGCAAGCAAUUUGGCAUGCUCAAAGUCUGCAAUCCAGGCCCGUAAUUUUUAAAAAGUUCGGUAAUGCCUUGAUUGCCUUGAAACUCGACUGAGCGUCUGGCCAAGGGCCUAAAAUAACGUCCUCCGACAACGGUGCGCUGUCGAGACGCGUAAGGUCCUUGACCAACCUAUCACGCUCUUCCACAAACUUAGGGCAGUCACAAAGCACAUGACCUAUAGUCUCAGUCACAUUGCACACCUCACGUGUGGAGACUCGGUGCGUCGCAUGAGGUGCACGUAUCCGCGCGUAAACGCUACCCCCAGCCUUAGUCUGUGCAGAAGACUGGCACAGCUUCGUUGAAUUUUCGGUGGUAGCCUAAAAUUCAUAGUGCGGUCCAAUCUCUGGAGUCGUCUGUGGCGAUUAUCCGGAUUGUCCCAGUGCUUUGCUGUCAAUUUUCGGAUGACACUGGAGAGGAGACAGUUGGCGUCCGCUCUUGAAAAAGGAAUUGAAAGCAGUGACUCUCGUUCUUCGAGUGCUUUCUUCGCUUCGGCGUCGGCCAGUUCGUUGCCCUGUAUACCGCAGUGACUAGGAAUCCACUGAAAUGUGAUCUGGUGGCCGUUUUCUUGCGCUAAAGUGUAGAGCUCGGCAGUUUGAAGAGCCAACACUCUGUAAGCGCUUUCUUUCAACACCACUCUAAGUAGUUGAAGAGCCGAUUUUGCAUCACUGAAAACUGUCCAUAUUUGAGGAGGCUGUCGCGCAAUAUAUUGAACGGCCUCUCUUAUUGCCACUAAUUCCGUAGAUGUUGUAGUCGUCUUGUUAUGCAGACGAAACCGUUGAAUGACUUGAUGCGCAGGCACGACAAAAGCCGCACCAGACGCAUACGACGAGACCGAGCCGUCUGUAUACACGCUCACCGAGGAGUCAUAUUCUUUCGACAUAUAUUCAAGUGUUAAAUGUCUGAGGCCGACGCUAGACAGAGUACCUCAUACUACAUUCUGAACAUUGCUGCAGUCAAGAAGGAUUUCUGUCUAAUGCGCUGGCCUCUACCACCAAAUGCCUGAAAAAUUAAGAAACAUUAUGUAGAUUCCAGACACAGUCGGGAUUUAUGUUGCAGGAUCCUUGGGUUGCACAACCACAACCUUGGCUAUGCCCAAUGACAAGGGACAGCAAGAUGCUACUUUAUGCCCAGAUGUCACCUCUUAUGACAUUUCAAGGCAGCGAGGCUGAGACUGCACUGUAUUCAGCGGCACUGACAACCAUGAUGUAGAGGACUGACUUUCCCCCUAUGUACAACACAUCAGCAGAAUAAGAACAAGGAAAUGCCCCACACAGGUGCGUGGCACUAAACUGGACGCACUACCUGCUGUAUGCAAGAGAGAAUUAGGAAGAAUGAGCUUCCCAUUACUCCUGAGCACCUACCUACAACUGUUUUUAUGGGCACAGCAUUGAAGCUGCAAUUGAGGUAAUGCCUAACACCACAUGAAAUACAAAGCACAAUACGUCAACACAGAGAAACCAAAACAACUGCACACACAACUUCUCACCAAAAUAGACACAACGUCUGCUUUAUGUUGCAUCUGAGCUGAAACGGGAGAAUCCCAAACUCUGUGUCACAUAACAUCUGAAAGAAUCAGCUGCUAUGAGAGAACCAGUGAGAUUAAUCUGGCGCGCUAUGCAUGCAUCUGUAGCCUAACGGGUAAAGAAUUGGGCUGCUGCACUAAGGACCCAGACUAACGACCCACCAUCAGGCACGUUACUAUUAUUGAGCCUAUCUGACUGGAUGUACGAAGAAGCCAGGAGACAGAUCAUGAUAAUGCUUUGCACAAGAGACAACGAAGCUGAACCCACGUUUUCUGCCUUGUGCUUGCAAUGCUCUACCAAGUGAGCUUAAAUGGCAGUUGUCCCGAUGUCAAUUUUCUUGGAUAGCUGCGCAUGUGUACUAAGCAUAGCCCUAAGAGUGCUGGGCAGCAGCACUCACAGUCAUGAUGGCAGAUGUUAAGUAUCCUUUAAAACACCCAUACUACAAAGUACAUGAUCUUAGAAGCUGGCAAGUGGCUAAUAAACACUCGUUUUCUACCAUGAGGAACCAAGGCAGCCGAAAUCAAAACAUUUGUAGCUUAUGAGCGAGAAAAAUCAGGGGAGUCACGCAGCUCAAUUUUUUGUUUAUAACAAGCAUACGAUGGCAACAGACUAUGAAGCAACAAUGACUAUAUAGAAAAAUGGGUUAGAGCUGACGACAAUCAUUGGCAGCUCACACUAUAAUGCUUUCUCUACAAUGUAUUGUCUCAAGACAUCUGGCAGCAAAUCUUCUGGAUUCUUCUACUAUGUCUUUUGCAACUGAAAUUUUAAAUGUGUGUAAUACUUCACGGCAACUUAGAACACUUACAUGGUUAAGCAUCUCCAUACCUUAAAUUUGUGGACCAGCUUUGUCACCUUUCUAGAACAAUAACUCCCUGGUGUCAUACAUCACUCAAACCACUACUAAUUAAAUCUACCUUUAGAUAAGCAGUACCUGCAUUAGAUGCAGCAGCAUACCCUUUUAGCAAAUGCAUAUACAUACCACGCUCAGACUGAGCAAACCAAACAAACCAACAGCGACCAGUACUUGUGUCCAUUUGUCUUCAACGAGGCAGAGACAGGCCAGGUCUCAAUAAACACAACAAAUAUAAGGUGCAGGCAGAGGAAAUAAGCAGAAGCUGUAAAGACAGCAGUAAAGUGAAACAAAUUAGACAAAUUUGCACACAGUCAGCGAUCUGGGCCGAGGACAAUUCACAACGUUACUGCCACAAUUAGAAGCAAAUGCUCCUCAUGCAACAAGAAAAAACACGUUUUAGCUGUAAACAGCACGAGUGCGUGGAGUUGGUUGAUAUUCUAAAAACAGCACAGACAACAAUUAAAGCAGACACACUACUUGUGU